GGGACACGUGGUAUCCUGUCUGAAUAUGGGGGGACCAUCCUCCAAGGCUAAAUACUCCUGACUGACCGAUAGUGAACCAGUACCGUGAGGGAAAGGCGAAAAGAACCCCGGCGAGGGGAGUGAAAAAGAACCUGAAACCGUGUACGUACAAGCAGUGGGAGCACGCUUAGGCGUGUGACUGCGUACCUUUUGUAUAAUGGGUCAGCGACUUAUAUUCUGUAGCAAGGUUAACCGAAUAGGGGAGCCGAAGGGAAACCGAGUCUUAACUGGGCGUUAAGUUGCAGGGUAUAGACCCGAAACCCGGUGAUCUAGCCAUGGGCAGGUUGAAGGUUGGGUAACACUAACUGGAGGACCGAACCGACUAAUGUUGAAAAAUUAGCGGAUGACUUGUGGCUGGGGGUGAAAGGCCAAUCAAACCGGGAGAUAGCUGGUUCUCCCCGAAAGCUAUUUAGGUAGCGCCUCGUGAAUUCAUCUCCGGGGGUAGAGCACUGUUUCGGCAAGGGGGUCAUCCCGACUUACCAACCCGAUGCAAACUGCGAAUACCGGAGAAUGUUAUCACGGGAGACACACGGCGGGUGCUAACGUCCGUCGUGAAGAGGGAAACAACCCAGACCGCCAGCUAAGGUCCCAAAGUCAUGGUUAAGUGGGAAACGAUGUGGGAAGGCCCAGACAGCCAGGAUGUUGGCUUAGAAGCAGCCAUCAUUUAAAGAAAGCGUAAUAGCUCACUGGUCGAGUCGGCCUGCGCGGAAGAUGUAACGGGGCUAAACCAUGCACCGAAGCUGCGGCAGCGACGCUGAUGCGUUGUUGGGUAGGGGAGCGUUCUGUAAGCCUACGAAGGUGUGCUGUGAGGCAUGCUGGAGGUAUCAGAAGUGCGAAUGCUGACAUAAGUAACGAUAAAGCGGGUGAAAAGCCCGCUCGCCGGAAGACCAAGGGUUCCUGUCCAACGUUAAUCGGGGCAGGGUGAGUCGACCCCUAAGGCGAGGCCGAAAGGCGUAGU
rnacentral:rRNA from 1 species